rnacentral:rRNA from 1 species
UGGGGAAUAUUGCACAAUGGGCGCAAGCCUGAUGCAGCAACGCCGCGUGCGGGAUGACGGCCUUCGGGUUGUAAACCGCUUUUAGUAGGGAAGAAGCCUUCGGGUGACGGUACCUGCAGAAAAAGGACCGGCUAACUACGUGCCAGCAGCCGCGGUAAUACGUAGGGUCCGAGCGUUGUCCGGAAUUAUUGGGCGUAAAGAGCUCGUAGGCGGUUUGUCGCGUCUGCUGUGAAAACUAGAGGCUCAACCUCUAGCCUGCAGUGGGUACGGGCAGACUUGAGUGGUGUAGGGGAGACUGGAAUUCCUGGUGUAGCGGUGGAAUGCGCAGAUAUCAGGAGGAACACCGAUGGCGAAGGCAGGUCUCUGGGCACUUACUGACGCUGAGGAGCGAAAGCGUGGGGAGCGAACAGGAUUAGAUACCCUGGUAGUCCACGCCGUAAACGUUGGGCGCUAGAUGUGGGGACCUUUCCACGGUUCCGUGUCGUAGCUAACGCAUUAGCGCCCCGCCUGGGGANUACGGCCGCAAGGCUAAAACUCAAGGAAUUG